AACGAACGCUGGCGGCGCGCUUAACACAUGCAAGUCGAGCGGUCUGGGGGCAACUCCAGGCAGCGGCGGACGGGUGCGUAACACGUGGAUAAUCUGCCCUAGAGACGGGGAUAACCAGCCGAAAGGUUAGCUAAUACCCGGUAAGCUCACGGACCCGAAGGGGUCAGGGAGAAAAGUCGCAAGACGCUCUAGGAUGAGUCCGCGGCCCAUCAGGUAGUUGGCGGGUAAAGGCCCACCAAGCCUACGACGGGUAUCUGGUCUGAGAGGACGACCAGCCACACUGGAACUGAGACACGGUCCAGACUCCUACGGGAGGCAGCAGUGGGGAAUCUUGCGCAAUGGGCGAAAGCCUGACGCAGCGACGCCGCGUGUGCGAUGAAGGUCUUCGGAUCGUAAAGCACUGUCGCCCGGGAAAAAGAAGUGAUGGUACCGGGAGAGGAAGCACCGGCUAACUCUGUGCCAGCAGCCGCGGUAAU
rnacentral:rRNA from 1 species